rnacentral:rRNA from 1 species
GACGAACGCUGGCGGCGUGCCUAAUACAUGCAAGUAGAACGCACAGUUUAUACCGUAGCUUGCUACACCAUAGACUGUGAGUUGCGAACGGGUGAGUAACGCGUAGGUAACCUGCCUGGUAGCGGGGGAUAACUAUUGGAAACGAUAGCUAAUACCGCAUAAUAUUAAUUAUUGCAUGAUAAUUAAUUGAAAGGUGCAAUUGCACCACUACCAGAUGGACCUGCGUUGUAUUAGCUAGUAGGUGAGGUAACGGCUCACCUAGGCGACGAUACAUAGCCGACCUGAGAGGGUGUUCGGCCACACUGGGACUGAGACACGGCCCAGACUCCUACGGGAGGCAGCAGUAGGGAAUCUUCGGCAAUGGACGAAAGUCUGACCGAGCAACGCCGCGUGAGUGAAGAAGGUUUUCGGAUCGUAAAGCUCUGUUGUAAGAGAAGAACGGGUGUGAGAGUGGAAAGUUCACACUGUGACGGUAGCUUACCAGAAAGGGACGGCUAACUACGUG